rnacentral:rRNA from 1 species
CGCGACUGACGCUCAUGCACGAAAGCGUGGGUAUCGAACAGGAUUAGAUACCCUGGUAGUCCACGCGGUAAACGAUGAUAACUAGUUAUUCGGCGCGAUUGAGUGCUGAGUGACCGAGCGAAAGCGUUAAGUUAUCCACCUGGGGAGUACGCCGGCAACGGUGAAACUCAAAGGAAUUGACGGGGGCCCGCACAAGCGGAGGAACAUGUGGUUUAAUUCGAUGAUACGCGAGGAACCUUACCCGGGCUCAAACGCAUGGCGCUACACCCUGAAAGGGGUGGUUCUUCGGACGUCAUGCGAGGUGCUGCAUGGUUGUCGUCAGCUCGUGCCGUGAGGUGUCGGCUUAAGUGCCAUAACGAGCGCAACCCCCAUCUUCAGUUGCCCCCGGGUUAAGCCGGGCACUCUGGAGAGACUGCCGGCGCAAGCUGUGAGGAAGGCGGGGAUGACGUCAAAUCAGCACGGCCCUUACGUCCGGGGCGACACACGUGUUACAAUGGCGGGGCUACAGAGGGAAGCCAGGCGGCGACGCCGAGCUGAUCCCGAAAACCCGUCUCAGUUCGGAUCGGAGUCUGCAACCCGACUCCGUGAAGCUGGAUCGCUA